CAUCCUGGCCGGAAGUCAGAGGGUUUUUUUCCUCUUUUUUGAAAAAGGCGAUGCCCUUAGUGUAUUAAACUUACGUUGUACUUUUAUUAGAAUAAACUAGGUUGAAAGUACAAAGGAAACAUACAAAGGCAAGCUGAAAGAAAGGUCUAAAGUUACCAAUGAGUGACCGCAAAUCAAUCACGGAUCGUUAAGGACCUAAAAAUUAACAUAAAUUUGGAAUAAAGGAUGCAUCUGUGAAACAUCAUUUUAAACUCCGCUUAAGAUUCUAAGUUUUCCUUAGUGGAAAUGAAUUUUCUAAACUGGCCACUCCUGUUUGGAAGUUUGUAGAAACAGACCACAAACAGGGUAAAAUUUUUGAGUGAGCCAGAUUAAAUUCAUAAUGAAGUUAAUCUUGCGUUAUUAAUUUUUCACAUAGUAUUUCAAAGUUUUCCAACAAAUAUGGUAACCUUGAUUUAUGUUCCAAUUGGUGAUGAGCCUAGAAGACAGGUAAGGGGCCUUUUUUACAGUCUGAAGAUUCAUUCUGUGACAUGGGUGUUGGUAUAGCUUAGUGGUAAAUGGAUAAUUUGGAUUCAGAUAGUAGACCCAACUGCAAAUCUAGAUUUACUUUCUAAGGUUUGAUUUUUGGUAGUUUAUCUUCCCAAACUAUGGGUUCCUUAUUUGUGAAGGGGAACUUGUUACAAUACUUCUCCUCUCCGUACUCUGCAGCCACUCUCCAGCCAUAGCCCUGGCAUCUCUGGAGUCCUGGGAUGGAACAUGACCAGCCUCAGCUAGUCAGAAAGUCCAGGACCCUGGACACAGUGACUUAAUCAGGGGUGGCCCUGUGUCCCAGGUGGGCCAACCAGGGGACUCAGUAUUUUUGUGGGAGCUAUUGGAAAACUUUAACUCUCCCUGCUGAAUGUGCAAACGAGAACAGACAAACAGUUGCAUCUGUGGGCUGUCUUCAUCAUCACAAGACCAUCAGAAACAUUAAUUGGAUGUCCUAGGAACGGUGGAGACAGACGGAAGAGAAUAUUAAAGACACACUGUGAUGACAUUAUUCCUGUCACAUUGAAGCGGUGGUAGAGUAACACUGAGGAAAACACUCCUGCACUGGGGCGGAGGGCAGAAUCGCCUCAGUCCAGUUUCUGGUCUGUAACACACAGUCACGGGUAUAACAAAUGAGCUCCUUUAAAAAAUUGUUUUCUGGGCCAGGCGCGGUGGCUCACGCCUGUAAUCCUAGCACUCUGGGAGGCCGAGGC